UUUCAGACUGAUAUAAAACAAGAUGUGUUCAAUGAUACUAAUCACAACUUAAAGGAUGUAUCUGUUGUACAGAGCAGAAAUACUGAACAUUCCAUCCUAGAUGUGGAGAAGCACUGUCCUCAACAGUGCUUUCAUUCUAUUGUGGAGGUCAACUGCCAAUUUUUGCACCAUUUCACAUCAUUCAGACCAUGGAGACCAGUGAAGAGAUGCCUUGUUCCUGAAGCUAUAUGGGUUCAGCCUUAAUGACAGCAACUAGUAGCAGGAGUCAGAAGUGCAAAUAAAAGGGAACCACUACUCACUGAUGCUGGGUGCUCUGGUUCGUGGUUUUCUAGUGUUCGUCCCAAUAAUGACACAGCUGAAGUGAUGACAACAGGAAAUAGUUCAAAAUUAAUUGAUACAUUGUGUUUGGAUAAUAGUGAUGACUCUGUUGCUGAUCCUGACUUUGUUGCCACAACAGCUGAUGAUUCAUCAAGCAGCAGUGACGAGAAGGAACAAAAGAGAAAAAAGUUCAAAGGGAAACAUAACAAAUACCAAGGAUAAUUACCAAUGUACUACAUCUGAAACCUGACAGAUGAGGAGAUAAAUUCAAGAGGAGAAGAUUGGCGGGCACAAGCGGACAUCUGAAGGAGAUUGUUAGCAUUUCUGUAGUAGGGUCAGUGGUUCGUUGCAAUUGCAUAUCUGUCAAGAUCUCAUGCGAAAUUCUUUCGCGUGAAAUCUCGAGGCAUGUGUGUAAUGUAACGGAUUACUGAAACUACCGAUACCACAGGCUGGCGAGGUGUGCGGUGCCGUCAAUCAACUUGUAGGACCAAGUGAACUUUAACUACGUAAACAAAAACUGAAAUAUUAUUAUUUAGUUACAAAACUGUUAAUAUGAGGACAAUCAUGAGGUAUAUUGCCACAGAACUAUAUUAUAAACACUUUUCAUUUUUCAUACUAUGUUUUUCAUAUAUGUAUAUGUGCGAUGUGUAAAAUAUUGAUAUACAACUGAGAUUGGCAGUACUUCACAGUUUGUAAGCUCUGUGAACAGGAGCUGGUUAUUGGUGGGUGUAGAGACAAUGGGCAGUUGGUGUUGAGACGUCUUGUAAUACACUUGUUUUGUGAAGAUCAAGG